rnacentral:rRNA from 1 species
CCAGCGAUUAGCCUGAGUUCCUUAAAUGACUCGGCUAGCAGCUUCCGGGAAACCAAAGUGUUUCGGUUCCGGGGGAAGUAUGGUUGCAAAGCUGAAACUUAAAGGAAUUGACGGAAGGGCACCACCAGGAGUGGAGCCUGCGGCUUAAUUUGACUCAACACGGAAAACUUACCCGGCCCGGACACUGGAAGGAUUGACAGAUUGAGAGCUCUUUCUUGAUUCAGUGGGUGGUGGUGCAUGGCCGUUCUUAGUUGGUGGAGCGAUUUGUCUGGUUAAUUCCGAUAACGAACGAGACUCUAGCCUACUAAAUAGACUGUUCAGCUUUAUAGCCGGAAUCACUGGGCAUGUAGCUCCUCUCGGGGGGUUGCGUGUUCGGCUCUGGUGACGUUGGCAGUGCUUCUUAGAGGGACAGGCGGCGGUUCAGCCGCACGAAACAGAGCAAUAACAGGUCUGUGAUGCCCUUAGAUGUCCGGGGCUGCACGCGCGCUACACUGAAGUGAUCAGCGUGCAAUUUACGUUUGGUGAUCUGUCAAGAUUGCCCAACCCGUUGAACCUUCUUCGUGAUUGGGAUAGGGGAUUGUAAUUAUUCCCCUUGAACGAGGAAUUCCCAGUAAGCGCAAGUCAUAAGCUUGCGUUGAUUACGUCCCUGCCCUUUG